rnacentral:rRNA from 1 species
CCCAGUAAACGGCGGCCGUAACUAUAACGGUCCUAAGGUAGCGAAAUUCCUUGUCAGGUAAGUUCUGACCCGCACGAAAGGCGUAAUGAUUUGGGCACUGUCUCAACAGCCCGCCCGGCGAAAUUGUAGUACUGGUGAAGAUACCAGUUACCCGCAACUAGACGGAAAGACCCCAUGGAGCUUUACUGCAGCUUAAUACUGGAAUUCGGUAACCCAUGUACAGGAUAGGUGGGAGGCUUGGAAGCAGGGGCGUCAGCUCUUGUGGAGCCGCCGGUGGGAUACCACUCUUGGAUUGCUGAAUUUCUAACCUGCGGCCGUGAAUCCGGUCGGGGGACACUGUUAGGCGGGCAGUUUGACUGGGGCGGUCGCCUCCUAAAGAGUAACGGAGGCGCUCAAAGGUUGGCUCAGCACGGACGGAAAUCGUGCAGUGAGUGUAAACGUAGAAGCCAGCCUAACUGCGAGACCGACGGGUCGAGCAGUAACGAAAGUUGGAGUUAGUGAUCCGGUGGUAUGUGAGUGGAAAUGCCAUCGCUCAACGGAUAAAAGCUACCCUGGGGAUAACAGGCUGAUCUCCCCCAAGCGUCCACAGCGACGGGGAGGUUUGGCACCUCGAUGUCGGCUCGUCACAUCCUGGGGCUGAAUUCGGUCCCAAGGGUUCGGCUGUUCGCCGAUUAAAGUGGCACGCGAGCUGGGUUCAGAACGUCGUGAGACAGUUCGGUCCCUAUCUGUUGCGGGCGGAAGAGAUUUGAAGGGAGCUGUCCUUAGUACGAGAGGACCGGGAUGGACGUACCUCUGGUGCACCAGUUGUCCUGCCAAGGGCAUAGCUGGGUAGCUAAGUACGGACGAGAUAAACGCUGAAAGCAUCUAAGCGUGAAACUCCCCCUAAGAUGAGAUCUCUCACCUCGAAAGAGGGUAAGGGCCCAGGAAGACUACCUGGUAGAUAGGCCGGAGGUGGAAGUGCAGUAAUGUAUGGAGCUGACCGGUACUAAUAGCCCGAGGGCUUGACCUA